rnacentral:rRNA from 1 species
AUUGAACGCUGGCGGCAUGCCUUACACAUGCAAGUCGAACGGCAGCACGGGAGCAAUCCUGGUGGCGAGUGGCGAACGGGUGAGUAAUAUAUCGGAACGUGCCCAGUCGUGGGGGAUAACGUAGCGAAAGCUACGCUAAUACCGCAUACGAUCUAUGGAUGAAAGCGGGGGAUCGCAAGACCUCGCGCGAUUGGAGCGGCCGAUAUCAGAUUAGGUAGUUGGUGGGGUAAAAGCCCACCAAGCCGACGAUCUGUAGCUGGUCUGAGAGGACGACCAGCCACACUGGGACUGAGACACGGCCCAGACUCCUACGGGAGGCAGCAGUGGGGAAUUUUGGGACAAUGGGCGCAAGCCUGAUCCAGCAAUGCCGCGUGCAGGAUGAAGGCCUUCGGGUUGUAACUAGCUUUGUACGGUAACGAAACGGUAC